rnacentral:lncRNA from 1 species
AGUUAUCAGUGCUGUAGAACAAACUGCUCAGAGGACAACCACGACUGCUGUGCACGUACAACCUGCUCAAAAACAGAUGAGAAAAGAGGCGGAGAAGACCGCAGUAACCAAGGUCGUAGUUGCUGCAGAUAAAGCCAAGGAACAGGAACUAAGAUUACGAACCAGAGAAGAGAUUAUCACAAAGCAAGAGCAGACGCACAUUGCUCAUGAGCAGAUAAGAAAAGAAACCGAAAAAGCAUUUGUGCCAAAGGUAGUGAUCUCCGCAACCAAAGCCAAA